rnacentral:rRNA from 1 species
AGAGUUUGAUCCUGGCUCAGAUUGAACGCUGGCGGCAUGCCUAACACAUGCAAGUCGCACGCGAAAGGGGGCAACCCCGAGUAGAGUGGCGGACGGGUGCGUAAUACGCAGGAAUCUACCCACGAGUGGGGGACGACCCGGGGAAACCCGGGCUAAUACCGCAUGAGACCUACGGGUGAAAGCGGGGGAUCGCAAGACCUCGCGCUGGUGGAUGAGCCUGCGUCCGAUUAGCUAGUUGGUAGGGUAAAAGCCUACCAAGGCAACGAUCGGUAGCUGGUCUGAGAGGACGACCAGCCACACUGGGACUGAGACACGGCCCAGACUCCUACGGGAGGCAGCAGUGGGGAAUAUUGGACAAUGGGGGCAACCCUGAUCCAGCAAUGCCGCGUGUGUGAAGAAGGCCUUCGGGUUGUAAAGCACUUUCGAUGGGGACAAACGUGUCGGGCUUAAUACGUCCGGCCUUGAUGGUACCCAGAGAAGAAGCACCGGCUAACUCUGUGCCAGCAGCCGCGGUAAUACAGAGGGUGCAAGCGUUAAUCGGAAUUACUGGGCGUAAAGCGUGCGUAGGUGGUUGGAUAAGUCAGGUGUGAAAUCCCCGAGCUCAACUUGGGAAUUGCGCUUGAUACUGUCCGGCUAGAGUGUGGUAGAGGGUAGUGGAAUUCCGCAUGUAGCGGUGAAAUGCGUAGAUAUGCGGAGGAACAUCAGUGGCGAAGGCGGCUACCUGGACCAACACUGACACUGAGGCACGAAAGCGUGGGUAGCAAACAGGAUUAGAUACCCUGGUAGUCG